AGGCUUUAUUUGUAUGAAAAAUAUGAAACUGUAACUAGUAUGCCUGUGGAGUUGACUCGAUUCUCAAUUGGAUCAACUUGAGUGCUUGGAGAGUUGACUCAAUUUUGUUGGAGUCAACUCGAGACUCUGGUAGGUCGGCUCAUUUGCUGAUGAACCGACUCAAUUGUGUAGGUUAGGUCUAUAAAUUUUUAUUUAUCUCAGUG
rnacentral:lncRNA from 1 species